AAUCAGUGAUGAAAAAGGUUGCUAAACUAUCAAAUAUAUUUUAUAUAAAAAUUAUAUCAUAUAGUGAUGAAAAUAUCUAUCAAUAUAAUUUUUCUAAAUAUAUAUAUUUAUUUGAAAGUGACGGAUUUUAGAAUCCGUCUCUUUUCCGUUGCAAACUCCAAUUUCAGAUUUCCAUUACUCUCAUUUAAUCUCAUCCGUCCAUCAUAAUUUAUCAAACUCCAAGAGCCAAUCUCAUCCGCUCAUCCGAAUUUAUCAAUGGUCCUGAUUUAAGACCCUUGUUUUCCCAUCUUAUACAAAAGAUCCCAAAUCCCUUAUUUUCUUCAUUCUCCUCCUCUCCUCUACAAGUCCGCCGCCCAGACCUUGUUUGCCUUCUUCUCCAUUCUUCUUUUUGGCCUUUGCAGCCUAGAGAACGAGCAGUGAACAACGAUGGUGAGCUAUGGAAGACUUGGAAAGACCACCAGCGAACCUCCUUCGCUGGCAGAAGCUCCAAUCGGCGAGCAAUUAGGUGACCAGGUGGUCUCCGUCCGACUAUAGCAACUACACAAAGAUAGUUCCAUCAGUUGCCUCUCUCUCUCCAGCAAAAAAGGACAACAACUUUAGCUACACGUAGCGAGCAGCGAUGGUGAGCAUCGGCAACAUCCAAAUCCAGCGAGCAACAUAGGAACAAAAGCGAAGGAGAUCACAACAACAAUUUUAGUCGUAGGAGCUCUAUGAGGAUUUUAGGUGUAUAAAGAUAAAUUGUUAUUCCAAGUGUAUCAUUAUGUUGGCGGGCGUGAAGUUUUUGUUGGACUCAGACGGGUGACUCUAUCUCAAUUGGAGAAUAUCGCAGAAAACUUUGCAGCAAGUGUACCAUCAACUUCGACUCGCCCUGAACUCUAAUCAGUCUCCAACACAUCAGAGUUCAUGAUGGUUAGAACUAGAGCAACAACUGUGCCUACACCAACACCGGCAAGACAUGGUGCGUCUGAGCCAACCAUUAGGGCUGUAACUCGAGGAGGAGCAGUGGCAAAAGGCCGUGGUAGAGGUCGCAGGAGGAUGCCCACUAGAGGCAGAGGACAAACACCUAUUCCAGCUAGGAAUAGAGCAGUGACUCUUCCACCGACUGAUGAGGUAGUGAGAGAGGGUGAGGAAGGGGAAAAUGAGCAGGUUCAGGAUAAGAAAAUACCACCCCAGCCUACCGCAGAGAUGAUUAAUCAGGUUCUUACUUAUC